GUGACCCUCCUCUCCCCAGGCAGGGUUGAGAGCAAGAAGGUGCAGGAUGUAGGCCUGCAGAAUUGUCAGACCCAGUGGCGGCUUCUGCCACUGGAAGAAUUUCCAACAUAAAACAGAUGAUCAGUUUGGGACAAUCGAUUCUGCGACCAGAGUUUAUAAAGCUGUCCAAGAUCUGCCCAGUCCCAGAUGUCCUGGGUCCUCAGGGCUGCUGUGGUCUGCGCCCUUCUCCUGCAGCUGGAUGCCAGACCAUCCUGGACUCGGAUCCCUUUGGGUUCACACUCGCUUAGGUAUUUCUACACCGCUGUGUCCCGGCCUGGCCUUGGGGAGCCCUGGUUCAUAAUUGUCGGCUAUGUGGACGACAUGCAGGUCCUGCGCUUCAGCAGCAAGGAGGAGACUCCGAGGAUGGCACCCUGGCUGGAGCAGGAGGAAGCAGAUGACUGGGAACAGCAGACUCGUAUAGUCACAAUUCAAGGACAGCUGUCUGAAAGGAAUCUGAUGACCCUGGUUCAUUUUUACAACAAGAGCAUGGACGACUCUCACACACUACAGUGGCUGCAGGGCUGCGAUGUGGAGCCAGAUCGGCACCUGUGUCUCUGGUACAACCAGCUCGCCUAUGAUAGCGAGGAUCUCCCCACCCUGAGCGAAAACCCAAGUUCCUGUACAGUGGGAAAACAGUGGGAAACAGCACUGUACCUCAGAUCUCUCAGCACCUGGAGGGCCACUGCUCAGAUCUGCUGCAGAAAUACCUGGAAAAAGGGAAGGAGAGGCUGCUGCGUUCAGACCCCCCAAAGGCACAUGUGACCCGUCACCCCAGACCUGAAGGUGAUGUCACCCUGAGGUGCUGGGCCCUGGGUUUCUACCCUGCUGACAUCACCCUGACCUGGCAGAAGGAUGGGGAGGAGCUGACCCAAGAAGUGGAGUUUGUGGAGACCAGGCCUGCAGGGGAUGGAACCUUCCAGAAGUGGGCAGCUGUGGUGGUGCCUCUUGGAAAGGUGCAGAGUUACACGUGCCAUGUGGACCAUGAGGGGCUGCCUGAGCCCCUCACCCUGAGAUGGGAGCCUGCAUGGUACCAAAAGCCUUGGAUUUGGAUUGUUGCCACGGUUUUUUCCAUUUUGCUCAUUUGUCUCUGUGUGGCUCGCAGACCCAUGAAGAAGAAUGCAGGUGGGAGAGGAAGGCGUGACACCCAAGAAGCAGGCAGAGACAGUCCCCAAGACUCUAGCAAGACUGUUGUGGAUGAUGAGGAGAUGGGGGUUUGCUUUUGGAAGAUUAAGUACUGUAAGACUUGUCUAGGCCACUCCCCAGGAACUUCAGUUGGCGAGUCUUUACUGUCACCUUGACUGGAUUUAGGAUCAUCUGGGAGAUGCCCCUUUGAGUGGCUGGGCUGUGAGGACAGCAGGCCAGUUCUUGCCACCCUGGACAGAAACACAUCUCACCUUUCUGGCUCGAGGAUCUGAACACCUGUCUCUUGCCUACUCGGCUUCUAGUCAGGCAUUUUGUCACCUUGUCAAGGGUCCCAGGGACACAAAGCUCCCUCCUCUCACCCACAGCACUCUGGGUCCUACCCCCAAUGCUUCAGGGACAUUUAAUCAGGUCAAAUUGGGAUCAAUGGCUUUGAUGCAGAAAAGAACUGUGGACUAAUAGAGAUAGGGUUUAAUAAAAAAAAUAUCUUUUUAAUUUUAAGGUGUCUUAAAAGUAUUUAUUUAUUGGGUAUGUGCAUGUGAGAGCUAUAGCGCACGUGUGGGAGACAGAGGACAACUUGCUGGAGUCAGUUCUCUUCCUCCACCAGGUAGGUCCCAGGGAUGGAUCUCAGGUCUUGGCAGACUUGGACACAGUGCCUUUACCCACUGAGCACCUGGCUGACCCAACAAAGUAUUUUUUGAAGGUUGGCUCAUUUGUUGUUAUUCAUUUUUACUGGACUUUGACUUGGAGGUAGAAGCAGCCUACACCUCUUGGCAGUCUGAUCCUGGCGUUUUUUUCUGUGGCUUCCUUCAUUCUCUUGGCCCAAGGCUUAGCUCUGCAGCCCCUCCUCAGUCUCCAUAGCAACGCUUAGCUCUACAGCCUCUCUCCAUCUCCAUAGCACCUAGUCUCUACUGAACAAUACAUUGGUGUUUUGUUGCAGGACAGGUGGAGUAAGGAGAUGCUGGGUCUUGGAUCUUGGGGGCUGUGGUUCUGGGCUUCUUCCCUUCUUUGCCUGCUUUCUCACAACGUGUUGACUGGCACCAUCAGCUUCUUUGGAAAGACUGAAAAGCUUUCCGAUUCUGCAGUUCUUUUGGGCCCAGGAGUAUCUGUCAGUCCAGGAAUCUCCUUUUCUCCUUGGCUCAUGAUAACCGAGUUGAGGACUCAGACUGGCAUCCGUAACGUGCCUGCAGACAGGCUCAUCCUGCCUCUCUCCAGCUUUCUUUGGUCAGAACAGCAGGUGCACUUGGCCGUGGGUCCAGACACCUUGCUGGGACCUUCCAAGGGAAAGCCUUGUUUGCUGUUCCCAACGAUGGUUCGGACCAAUUAUCCCUUGGACUAUUCACCAGCGUCUGGGAAGGAGACAUCCAGCUUCAUCUUGUCAUAGCCGAACACCUGGGAAGGGCAGUGAAAAAGAAAAAAAAUAAAAGCAUGUUAAUGUAGACUUUCGACAGGAAGAUUUAGAGAGGGGCCAAGAAAAGAGAAAGAUAAAUGUUAAGAAAAAAAUGGCUGCUGCUGGCCACACCUUUAAUCCCAGCACUUGGGAGGCAGAGGCAGGAGGAUUUCUGAGUUUGAGGCCAGCCUGGUCUACAGAGUUCCAGGACUGCCAGGGUGACACAAAGUAACUGUCUCAAAAGAUUUAAUUAAUUAAUUAAUUAAUUAAUUAAAAAGUAAACAUACUUUUAAGAAAUCAAAUAAAUCCAGAUGUGAAAUAUUGUUCA